rnacentral:lncRNA from 1 species
AGGAAACACUGGAAAGCCUUACCUCAGGCACUAAGUUGCUAAUUAUCCAGAAGGAAAAACGACAAUGGCCACAGUGGUAGAACUGAGCCCUACAAGUGAGCAGUGUGAGUUUGUCCUAGGUCUGCCAGUGAAUAAGAAGACCCCUCCCCGGAAAGCACAGAAUUCCAUCAUAAGCAUCACCAUGGUAGCCAUGGUCAACAACACGGACCAGCCAUCCCACCUCAAUAGCUCUACUGAAUGGUUUCCUGAUGGUUUAAACGGUGAUCAACAUGAAGCUUCAAAGCAUCUUUCUAUAAAGGUAGGCAAUGCAAAUUUUAAGUUUGUUCUCCCAGUUGUGUUCAUGGGUGUGCAAAUGCAUGUGCAUGUAGGACCUGAAGGCUUAAACGUUAGGCUGUGCUAACUGCCCUGCAGGUUCCAGGGAUUUCCCUGCUUCUGCUUCCUCAGUGAUUGGGAUACAAACUACAGUGGUGGGCUUUUUAUGUGGGUUCUGGGACUUAAAGUGAGCUCUUAAUGCUUGCACAGCAAGCACAUUGAGCCAUCUCCUCAGCCUCUGGACUCAAACUUUUGCUAUUCAUUUUUUAUAUUUAUUUUUCUAGAGUUUAUACCUUCAAAAGCCCUUUUUACAAUUCUGGGAAGAGAAGCCAGGGACUUACACAUUUUAGACUGGUUGCUCUAUAACUGAACUAGUAUCCAGUCCUCUCCUUUUUCUCUUCUGUUCAAUUCCACUUUCAGGAAGAGCCUCAUUAAGCUGUCCAGGCAGGCUUGGACUAGCUUUUCUCCUGGCAACUCGAGCAGUUCAGGGCUUAACCCAGGGCGCUGGAUAUGGGGGACAGUUUGCACUCUGGCAGAAGUGGGCUCCUCCAAAUGAACGCAGCCGACUCUGCAGCAUUGCCAUGUCAGGAAUGAUAUUGGGAAUCUUUGCUGUGCUCCUUGUGGGCGGCAUCAUUAGUGAAGCCCUCGGGUGGCCCUUUGUCUUUUAUAUCUUUGGUAAGCUGCUUGCUGGUUUCUGGGAUAUUAAGGAAUGUGCUUCUGAGUUUGUGCACCCAUGUGUACUUUUCUAAAGGAAGAGAAUCAAAAUAUAAAAAUGUUAAGGAAACAAAAUAUCAAAAUAAAAGGAAUUUUGCUAGC